rnacentral:rRNA from 1 species
AUUGAACGCUGGCGGCGUGCUUAACACAUGCAAGUCGAUCGGUAACGCGGGGGCAACCCUGGCGACGAGAGGCGGACGGGUGAGGAACGCUUGGGAAUCUGCCCUUCAGCGGGGGACAACACGGGGAAACUCGUGCUAAUACCGCAUACGCUCCACGGAGGAAAGCCGGGGACCGCAAGGCCUGGCACUGAAGGAUGAGCCCAAGUCGGAUUAGCUAGUUGGCGGGGUAACGGCCCACCAAGGCGACGAUCCGUAGCUGGUCUGAGAGGACGAUCAGCCACACUGGGACUGAGACACGGCCCAGACUCCUACGAGAGGCAGCAGUGGGGAAUAUUGGACAAUGGGGGAAACCCUGAUCCAGCGACGCCGCGUGGGUGAAGAAGGCCUGCGGGUUGUAAAGCCCUUUCGGUAGGGACGAAAGCUCUCGACCUAACACGUCGGGAGGUUGACUUAACCUACAAAAGAAGCACCGGCUAACUCUGUGCCAGCCGCCGCAGUAAAAC